UCUCUUGCUUUGUCAGAAAAUAUACUAAAAUUGGAACGAUACAGAGAAGAUUAGCAUGGCCAUUGCGCAAGGAUGACACUCAAAAUCGUGAAGCGUUCCACAUUUUC
rnacentral:snRNA from 1 species